GACGAACGCUGGCGGCGUGCCUAAUACAUGCAAGUUGAGCGCUGAAGGUUGGUACUUGUACCAACUGGAUGAGCAGCGAACGGGUGAGUAACGCGUGGGGAAUCUGCCUUUGAGCGGGGGACAACAUUUGGAAACGAAUGCUAAUACCGCAUAAAAACUUUAAACACAAGUUUUAAGUUUGAAAGAUGCAAUUGCAUCACUCAAAGAUGAUCCCGCGUUGUAUUAGCUAGUUGGUGAGGUAAAGGCUCACCAAGGCGAUGAUACAUAGCCGACCUGAGAGGGGGAUCGGCCACAUUGGGACUGAGACACGGCCCAAACUCCUACGGGAGGCAGCAGUAGGGAAUCUUCGGCAAUGGACGAAAGUCUGACCGAGCAACGCCGCGUGAGUGAAGAAGGUUUUCGGAUCGUAAAACUCUGUUGGUAGAGAAGAACGUUGGUGAGAGUGGAAAGCUCAUCAAGUGACGGUAACUACCCAGAAAGGGACGGCUAACUACGU
rnacentral:rRNA from 1 species